rnacentral:rRNA from 2 species
CGGGUCGUAAAACUCUGUUGUUGGAGAAGAAUGGUCGGCAGAGUAACUGUUGUCGGCGUGACGGUAUCCAACCAGAAAGCCACGGCUAACUACGUGCCAGCAGCCGCGGUAAUACGUAGGUGGCAAGCGUUAUCCGGAUUUAUUGGGCGUAAAGCGAGCGCAGGCGGUUUUUUAAGUCUGAUGUGAAAGCCCUCGGCUUAACCGAGGAAGCGCAUCGGAAACUGGGAAACUUGAGUGCAGAAGAGGACAGUGGAACUCCAUGUGUAGCGGUGAAAUGCGUAGAUAUAUGGAAGAACACCAGUGGCGAAGGCGGCUGUCUGGUCUGUAACUGACGCUGAGGCUCGAAAGCAUGGGUAGCGAACAGGAUUAGAUACCCUGGUAGUCCAUGCCGUAAACGAUGAAUGCUAGGUGUUGGAGGGUUUCCGCCCUUCAGUGCCGCAGCUAACGCAUUAAGCAUUCCGCCUGGGGAGUACGACCGCAAGGUUGAAACUCAAAGGAAUUGACGGGGGCCCGCACAAGCGGUGGAGCAUGUGGUUUAAUUCGAAGCAACGCGAAGAACCUUACCAGGUCUUGACAUCUUUUGAUCACCUGAGAGAUCAGGUUUCCCCUUCGGGGGCAAAAUGACAGGUGGUGCAUGGUUGUCGUCAGCUCGUGUCGUGAGAUGUUGGGUUAAGUCCCGCAACGAGCGCAACCCUUAUGACUAGUUGCCAGCAUUUAGUUGGGCACUCUAGUAAGACUGCCGGUGACAAACCGGAGGAAGGUGGGGAUGACGUCAAAUCAUCAUGCCCCUUAUGACCUGGGCUACACACGUGCUACAAUGGAUGGUACAACGAGUUGCGAGACCGCGAGGUCAAGCUAAUCUCUUAAAGCCAUUCUCAGUUCGGACUGUAGGCUGCAACUCGCCUACACGAAGUCGGAAUCGCUAGUAAUCGCGGAUCAGCACGCCGCGGUGAAUACGUUCCCGGGCCUUGUACACACCGCCCGUCACACCAUGAGAGUUUGUAACACCCGAAGCCGGUGGCGUAACCCUUUUAGGGAGCGAGCCGUCUAAGGUGGGACAAAUGAUUAGGGUGAAGUCGUAACAA